rnacentral:tRNA from 1 species
GGAGAAAUGACCGAGUGGCUUAAGGUGCACGCCUGGAAAGUGUGUAUGCCUCAAAAGGGCAUCGUGGGUUCGAAUCCCGCUUUCUCCG